rnacentral:rRNA from 1 species
CUAAAGCGUGGGUAGCAAACAGGAUUAGAUACCCUGGUAGUCCACGCCCUAAACGAUGUCCGCUAGCUAUUGGGCGUAGGCUCAGUGGCGAAGUUAACGCGUUAAGCGGACCGCCUGGGGAGUACGGUCGCAAGAUUAAAACUCAAAGGAAUUGACGGGGACCCGCACAAGCGGUGGAUGAUGUGGUUUAAUUCGAUGCAACGCGAAAAACCUUACCUGCUCUUGACAUGUUCGGAAUCCCGCAGAGAUGCGGGAGUGCCUUCGGGAACCGAAACACAGGUGUUGCAUGGCUGUCGUCAGCUCGUGUCGUGAGAUGUUGGGUUAAGUCCCGCAACGAGCGCAACCCUUGUCGUUAGUUGCCAGCAUUAAGUUGGGUACUUUAACGAAACUGCCGGUGACAAACCGGAGGAAGGUGGGGACGACGUCAAGUCCUCAUGGCCCUUAUGAGCAGGGCUACACACGUCAUACAAUGGUUGGUACAACGGGUAGCAAACUCGCGAGAGUAAGCAAACCUCUAAAAGCCAAUCGUAGUCCGGAUCGUAGUCUGCAACUCGACUACGUGAAGUCGGAAUCGCUAGUAAUCGCGGAUCAGCAUGUCGCGGUGAAUACGUUCCCGGGUCUUGUACACACCGCCCGUCACACCAUGGGAGUGAAAGAUACCAGAAGCAGGUAGUUUAACCUUUCGG